AGGACGAACGCUGGCGGCGUGCUUAACACAUGCAAGUCGAACGGUGAUCUCGGUGCUUGCACCUGGUGAUCAGUGGCGAACGGGUGAGUAACACGUGAGUAACCUGCCCCAGACUCUGGGAUAACCCCGAGAAAUCGGAGCUAAUACCGGAUACGAGACGCACAGGCAUCUGUAGCGUUUGGAAAGAAUUUCGGUCUGGGAUGGACUCGCGGCCUAUCAGCUAGUUGGUGGGUAAUGGCCCACAAGGCGACGACGGGUA
rnacentral:rRNA from 1 species